UACGUAGGGAGCAAGCGUUGUCCGGAAUCAUUGGGCGUAAAGCGCGCGUAGGUGGCUUCGUAAGUCCGUUGUGAAAGUCAAAGGCUCAACCUUUGAAUGCCGAUGGAUACUGCGGAGCUAGAGUACGGAAGAGGCGAGUGGAAUUCCUGGUGUAGCGGUGGAAAUGCGCAGAUAUCAGGAGGAACACCAAUAGCGAAGGCAGCUCCGCUGGGACGUUAACCGACACUAAGGGCGCGAAAGCCGUGGGGAGCCGAACAGGGA
rnacentral:rRNA from 1 species